rnacentral:lncRNA from 1 species
AUAUAUAUAUAGUUGGGGCUACUAUACUCUUAUGAGUAUAGAUCUCUUUGUACUCAUAAAUUUUUAACCGUUGAUUGAUGGGAUGUGUGGUUUGGAUGAUGGUGGUCCCCACUUAAAAUGAUAGUGGUGCCCUAAGGUUUAGUGGGUAGUUAGUUAAAUAGUAUGAUCUAAUGGAUGAAAAUGAUUAAUGGAAUAAAUCUAAAGGCCGAAAACUUAUGAGUAUAAGGGAACCAAUACUCAUAAAAGUAUAGUAGCCGUGUCACGCCCCGGAUGUCUCGUUCCCCGGGCACGCAUACAAACCCGCCGUAUACAAAGGAGUUUCCUCUGUACACGAAGCGACAGCUGUACCUGUAAACAUACAAUACUACAAACAGUAGUAUAGAGCUGCUAGAGAAAACAAAAGCUAAACAAACUGAGUUUCAUAUACAUAGCUCA